UACGAUGUUUUGAUUCUUCGUCUUAUUUAAAAUUUUUACGAUUAAUAUUUUUAUUGUUAUUAUAUGAUAAAACAUGAAUAGUACUUUAUGCGUGAAUAAUUUUUUUUAAGUUUUUUAUAAAUUUUUUAAAUAAAAUAAAUGGUCAAACAUUAGACACGGGAA
rnacentral:pre_miRNA from 1 species